UCAUAUCAAGUGUUUUAUAUCGACUAAUUCAUAUCAACUGCUGCAUAUUAACUGCUUCAUAUGAACUGAUUCACAUCAACUGACUGAUAUCAACUGACUGAGUCAUUUCAACUGAUUCAUAUGAAUUGAAUUAUAUCAAUUGAGUCAUAUCAACUUGUCUGUCAUCAACAGAUUCAUAUUAAUCGAUGAGUAUCCCAGAGAGCAGAUUAUUUAAGUGAAUAUAAACAGAUUGGAUGAAAAUCCUAUAUUUUUACAGUUACCAGUUCAUGUGAAUGUUUUUGUAUUUUCUUACAUUUAGUGAAAAUGUGUGUCAUAUAGAUAUCUUCAUACUGUCUGAACAUUUAAAACGUGUGUGUAUAAUAUAAUAUAAUAUAAUAUAAUGGAACCCGCCGGUCUCUCUGUAUGUGUGUGUGAACUCUCAGUAGCAGGCCGCUCUUUGCGGCGGGGUGUGGAGGUCCAGGUCGUCUCUUCUCUCUCUGUUCCUCACGGUGUCUCUUUGAACGAGGAGGACAGCGUGUGGAGUGGAAGAGCAGGAAACAGGUGCUGCUCAGCUCAAGCUGCUCUCUCUGUUUGAUAUCCUUUAUAAGAAGCAGACGGAGCGACGGGGCGUAGCCACAAACAGAUGCUCCGAAAGAGCGGAAAGACGGCUUCAUCUCAGCACCACCUUGCUCUCCAGGCAGAGACGGAAAACAUACAAGAAAUUCAAUAAAGAGUGCAGAAAAGUGGUGACUGAUUGAUAACGGUGACGCCUUCUUUGCACCUUCUUCUCACAGUAGCAUAGACACCCAAUAUGCUGCGUCAACGUAACACACCCAAACACACAUCUGGAAAGAGAUGCACGUUCUGCACAAGGACGUCUUUCUCACACAGGCGCCGCCCCGAAGGCGCCGUGAACCUCAGUCCGCGUUGGACACCAGAAUAAAGCAGAGACCUGGGUGGCGCUGGACCUUCUGUAUUUCUACUUACUCUGUGUUAGCUUUAUGGACAGCUAUGGACUCGUCUCAGAUGACCAGAGCAAAUAACGGGGGUCAGAAAAAGCAGCCACGUCUUGACACCUACCUCAGAAAAUACAAAUGUGAGAAAAUCUUCCAUCCAUCUCCAUGAAAGUGUCCUUCACUGACCACCAGCGAUGGAAAAUCCAGUCUGCUACACUACAAUGUUUGAUUUAAAAGAGUUCUUUACAUAGCUUUCGCAAGAGGUUCUACUUGGAACCUUGUGUGAAAGGGAAUCUGCCAAAAUUACGUAAGAUGCAUUAAGUCACUAAAGCUGGACGUUUCAUGGAUUAUUCAUUUACUCGACAUAAAACAGAAAUUUAAUCAUAUUCAGAUCAUAUUACUGAAUUUAAGGUUCAAUAAUAAAUAAUCAAUAUAGAAAUAUAUAGUUUAUUACGUAAAUAUCAAACUGAAUCUGUUAGUAAGCAUUAUUUAAUACAUUUAAAAAAACUAUUAAAAAUAUAAAGAUUAUCAGCUCCAGUCCUGGGAAUAGAUCUCGCAGUGGUUCAGGUUUUUCCCUGAUUUAAUCAGUUUUAUUAUUAUGUAUUUAUUAAAUUAAUCCAACUCCAGCUCAUGAACAGCUUCUCGGAGUAAUAUCAACAUGUCGAGGAUGAUUCGUACACCUGGCGUAUAUUCAUAAACCUUUGAAUUCGUUCAUCUUUUCUUUUGAAGAGUUAAAAAAUGGCCAAACUUUCUCUGUAUGUGAUAAAGACGCAUGCAAACAUCUCGGACACAUCAAUACGGACGGCGACUCCAGUCAAAUUCACAUGUGCGCCCCUAGAACUGGAUUAACCUGCUGAAAAUUAGCAUAAUAAGUACAUCUGGUGUACUUGUAUUGGUUAAGUGACAUGGGAAAAAAUCGGUCCAGAUGUUCCUGGUGGACUUAAAACCGAACAUAUUCCAGAAACAUAUUUAAACCCAGUAUAAUAUGGAUAUGUCAAUCUAAUCAUACAUUAUACAAAUACUGCAGUCUUUUCCAAAAAAAAAAAUAAUUGACUGCAUGUAUUUCGACACAGUCGUUCUUUGUGAAUGCGCUCAGUGCGUCUGCGGACGCGUUCCACCUUCUGAACGGAUGUUGGAUACACUGCAGAGCAUAGCACACUCUCAGCGUGAUAGGAACUGGCAUGGUUUACCCCGAGCCCAGUUGGUAUUACGCAGAACCCCACUCAGUUUCAGCUGCACGGGACAGCGGGGAUCGGCGUAGAGCAGGAAUGCUCGCUGGCUCUGGUUGCGCCAGACUAAACUGUGGGAAGGCCAAGUCUCUCGCUGGAGAUUUGAGCCAAGAUGUCCGCUGUUCUUGCUAAUCAGAUUGAUUAGAGGCUGGUAGUCUGGUGUGGGUCUGCAUUCUGCUUCAUGUCGCCUCCACGCGGAGGCCCUGUUGCGAGAGCGAGUGAGGUCUGCCUGGGAUUUUACAGAGAUGUCCCGCUUUCGGUUAAACUCUCAGCAAGAAGUUGCUCCAAUUUUAGUUUUGGGGAUAAACAGCACUAAAAUUAGUACCGUUGUUAAUCAGCAGCUGUGAUGUUCAUGAUGGAUUUUAUUCACAGUGAUGUGUUUGGGAUUUUCUUAAGAUCUCCAGAGCACCUCUUAAUUCUCGAAUGUGUUUGAUCAAAAAGUAUUGAUUCUCUUUCUAUAACAGCAGCUCUGACAGCUGUUAUACUGAACAUCUGGAAGAUAAAUCAAAAGAUUAUAUUAUUGUUUCUAUAGUAACAGCAAAUUCAAAUAGUGGACAUUUGCAGAUGAUGUACAUAAUCUAAGACUAAUUAUAAACGUGUUGUUAUAAAGAAAAAACACUGACAUGGUGAAGUUUUUAUGUAAGGAAAUGUCAUUUUUCAAUGUUUAUUGAAGGAGUCUCAAGUGUAAAAGCGUUGUAACAAGUUUUUUUAACAAGUUUUCCUACACAGGAAAUUCUUCAGGACUGAGGAGUUUAUGCUUGAUGGUAUAACAUGACAAAAAGAGAGAAAAAGAGAGGAUGGUGAAGGAACAACUGUUUAUAGCUGCUAUAACGUAAGUGAGAAGAAGAACUAACUCACAAACGUUCAACAACAUUAACCGUAACUAUAAAUGGAUUAAAAGUAAGACAUGUCCUUCUUUAAUAAAUUUUAAAAAAUAUGUUUUUUUUUGGAAAAUUGCUGUGGUAUAAAAGGAAUAAAAUACUUUGUAACAUGGUGUUACUGGAAAAUAAUCUUUCUAUAAAACACAUUCCGAAGUGUUUUCUUUCUAACUUUGAGUUAGGAAGUUUGAGAACUUAUCAACGAUCACUUCCUCUUGGUCAAAUGCUUACAAUGAUAAAAAUAUUUUUUUAAACGUCUCUCUCAAAACCUGAUCUCUACGUUCUGAUGUUUGAUCUUUCAUUCAUACAGCUCUCCACUCCCAGACUCUGACUUCCUUCCCUGGGAAAAAAAACGGUACGUUCAAGCAGCCAAAAACGUUUCCGUAUUAAAAAAAAACUACAAAUAAAUAGCAGAAUUGGCAUUGAAGUUUGAAUAACAGUGAGGAGGCCCGUCGCACAGCCUCUUAUGAAUUCCUUAUUCUGAAAGCUGAGCUAUUAAAAUGAGCUUUUAUCGAGGGGAUGUGGUAAACGGAGGUAGCGGAGGUAACGUAGACCCCCAAAAAGGCACCAUUUCUUUCCUUUUUCUUUGGAAAUGAAGAAGGAAGCUGAGAUCUGAAUGACCUUACUGUUACCUUGGCGACGCUGUACCACUCGCGUCUUCCUGGUGCUCUGUGAAUGCAGCGCCGUCCCAGGAACUGGCCGUCCGCUCAUUUCCUGUCUGUCGCCUGUUUGAAUUAUGCACCUCUCUCUCUCUCUUUCUCUCUCUCUCUAUCCAUGCUGUUUCAUUCCCUUUGGCACCACUUCCUUAGAAAGGAAGAAAAAAAGUAUUCAGACUUUGGGGGCAGCUCGCUGAUGGGCGCCUU